UGCUUGCAAUUAUAGGGCUUUUGAACCAUUUGUUCCCUCCUUAGAUAGCCUCAUUUUUUUCAGAUUCUUGCUUAGAAGUCACUCCUCCGUGGACCUCCUCUGACAUAUUAAACAUUGCAGUCCAUUAUAAGCUGCAAGAGGACAGGGAUUUUUGCCUGUUUUAUUCCCUACUGUAUCACCAGGGGCUACAGCAAUAUCUGACAAACAGUGGGCAUGUAAUGAAUAUUUGUUAAGUGAAGUAAUAAAUUCAAUCAAAUCACAUCACCUGUUUAAGGCACUUCAUUGGCUUCACAUUGCACUUAGAAUAAAGAGAAAUUCUUUUUAUACAAUAUAAGUUCCUGCAGAAUGCAGACACUUUCUACUUCUCCAGCCUCCUUUCAACUCCUCUCCUACUAGCUUCUGUAUUUAAGCCACAUUAGACCUUUCUUCAGUUUUUUAUAUAGACUUUGUCGCAUCACACCUCAGAGACUCUGUACAUGUUCUUCCUCCUGCCUAGAAAGAGUCGUCCCUCCACUUUCGCCAACUAAUCCCUGCUCAACUUUUCAUCUCAGCAGGAGGCCCAUUCUCUUUGGCAAUCCUCUGGCCUCCAGCCCAUUUAUUAUAUACUCACAUGUCAACAUGUACUUCGUACAGCAUGUAACACAAUUGCACUUUUAUAUUUUAACAAAUUAUAUUUCCCAUAUUGAACUGUAAGUCUCCUGAAAGCAGGAAUUUUGUUCUUGCUCAUCAUCAACUUUUUCAACAUCCAGUGCACCAUUUAGAACUUAGAUGUAGUCAAUACAGGUUUGUGGAAUGAAAGAGGAAAAGAAAGAAUUAAUAUUCCUUUAAAUUAGGAUGGCAAAGAUCGUAUAUAGAAAAUUGGCUAAGUUGUGGUCCAUUCAUGUUUGCUCCCAAUUAAGGAGCACAGCUAUGAAAAGGAAGGCUUCAAAUUAAUAACCAAUAGAUUUUUUAAAAAAGAAAACUGGCCGGGUACUGUGGCUUAUGUCUGUAAUAUCAGCAUGUUGGGAGGCCAAGGCAGGAUUACUUGAGCCCAGAAAUUCCAGACCAGCCUGAGAAUUUGGCAAAACUCUGUCUCUACAAAAAAUACAAAAAUUAGCCAAGUUUGGUGGCAUGUGCCUGUAGUACCAGCUACUUGGGAGGCUGAGGUGGAAGAAUAGCUUGAGUCUGGGAGGUCAAGGCUGCAAUGAGCUGUGAUCGCACCACUGCACUCAAGCCUGGGUGGUAGAGUAAGACCCUGUCUCAAAAAAAAAAAAAAAAAAAGAAAAAUCACUAAGCAAAUAAGACAUGUGAAGGAUCAUGUCAAAGGUAAGAAAAAUUAGGGGAACAUUAAAAGCUUUCUUCCCAAGCCACUAAAUCAACUUGACUAACAAAAUUACCACUUGAUUUAGCAUUAGAAAAUUACAUUACAUAUCAAACAUAAACCCAUUAAUCAAAUACUAAAGAAAUUUCUGAGUUAAAUGGUAUAAUGUUAGCUUAUGCUUAUGCCAGAGCUGACCUUGAAAGAUUGUUCAAAUAUGGCUCAGUGUGAUUGAAAGUUCUGUGUGAAUAUGUUUUUGGAAAGAUCCAACAGCAACACCUUAGUGUAUGUUUUUGAAAUAAAAUGUAUCUGAGUAGCAGCAAAGUUAUUCUCAAAUUUCCAUUUUAUAGCUGGAGAUGUUAUACCGUGACAUAUAUGAUAGGACCCAAUAUGGAUUAAUCCCUUUUAGAAGUCAAUCGGGAAGAGGGGAGCAGUUAAAACAGUUGCACCGUGACAUAUACGACAGGACCCAAUAUGGAUCAAUCCCUUUUAGAAGUCAAUCGGGAAGAGGGGAGCAGUUAAAACCGUUGCUUGGUUUACAAACAUCAGAACAAUUUUCUUACUCACACCAUCUGAUUAUUGUAUUUUAUUUUUUCCCCAACGUUUAGACUACACAAUGAGUUAAGAACGACAAAAAUAAGCUCACCAAUAUACUAUGUACAUAUUUACCAAAAUCUGUGCAUGCCUAUACAUAUAAACACAGCUGAUAAUUUAUUAGUUAGGCUCAUUUGUAAUUUUUGUCACUAUAGACCAGUUUUUUAUUUAAAUUGAAGAUUAGUAUACAUUUUAAAUGAUUAGUCAAAAUAAAAAAUCUAAAAUGUGCUCUAAAUACCUCUUAGGUCAGAAAAAAAAAAGUCAAAAGCUAGAAUAUAGAGAAAUUAAGAAAUGCCCUAAAUUUCUAAUCUGACAAAAAUUCAUACGAGAUUUAAAUAUUUUAAUGGAAAACAGAACAGAACUAAUCAUUGAAGAAAUUAUAGAAAGGAAACAAAAUAAACAGAUUAUAUGGAGGAUUUUUAGAAGAUAAGUAAAUAAAUUAAUAUACUAGGAAAAAACAAGGGAAAUAUAAUUGAUAAAUAAAUACAGGUAAGAGUUCUUUUGAAAUAAUGAUAAAAUAGAAAAUAUCUGUCAAAACUAAAAGGAAAGAUGCAUAAAUAUAUAAAUAAAUGAUAAAACGAUGUUGCAUACAUAUAUGACUUUUUCAGAAUCAAAAAAUUUAAAUUUCUGUAAUAAAAUUUAAAUGUUUAUAAAUUUAAAAACUAGAAGAAAGAAUGCUGACUGUUCACAAUACAAAUAAAUGACAAAUAUUUGAGGUGAUGGAUAUGCUAAUUAUCCUUAUUUGAUCAUUGGACAUUGUAUACAUGUAUCAAAAUAUCACUCUGUAUCCCAUGAAUAUGUACAAUUAUUUGUCUCAAAAACAAACAAAAGAUAAUGGGAGAAUGUUGAAAACUCAGAGAGAAGAGCAACUCUCACAGAUAGGGAUCCAGAAAACAUUAGCAGCUGAUUUCUCGGCAGAAACCUUGAAGGCCAGUAGGCAGUGGAUUAUAUAUUUAAAAUAAUGAAGAAACCUGUCAAUUGAGAAAUCUAUAGCUGGAAAACUUAUCCUUCAAAAAUGAGGGAGAAAUUAAGACAUUUCCGGAUUUUUUUUAAAACUGAAAAAAAAUCCAUUUAUCCCUGAAUUUGCCAUUCAAGAAGUGUUAAGUCCUUCAGGUUGAAAUAAAUGAACUCUAGGCAAUAACUAUAUAAGUAAAUAAGCAAGCUGUAUGAAUAUACAAAGCUCUCUGUAAAGGUAAAUACAUAAACAAACAUAAAAACAGUCCUAUUGUAAUUUUGGUUUCUAACUCUGCUUUUUAUUUUCUACAUAAUUUAAAAGGCAAAUGCAUAAAAUGUAAUUGUAAAUCUGUUAGCUGGUAUACAAUGAAUAAAGAUAUAAUUUGUUACAUCAAUAACAUAAAAAGAGUAGAGCUAUAUGUAUAGCAGUAGAAUUCUGGUAUGUGAUUGAACUUAAGUUGAAAUAAAUUCAAAUUAAAAUGUUAUAACUCUAGGAUGUUAUAUGUAAUUCUCAUAGUAACCAAAAACGAAAUAUACAUAGAAUAUAAACAAAAGGAAAUGAGACUAGAAACAAAAUGUGUCACUACAAAAAAAUCAACUAAAGAUAAAAAAGAAAUAAUUGAGAAAAUGGCAAAAAUCAGUAACUCUGACAUAUUAAAACUUUCCAUGCUACAUAAAUCUGAAAACUCUAUUUCACAUAAAACUGGAGCUGAAAGAGACAAAUAUUUACCUAUAAAGUUAAAAGUUAUAUAGGGAACAAACACUAAUUUUUUUUAGAAAAAAUUAUAAAAAGAGUAAAAAUAUGCCUUAUACUACCCCAAUUUCAUGUUUUACAGCUCUGGGAAAAUAGAAAAUAAAAUGUUCUGUUAGCAUGAAUCCCUCUGUGCCCCCAAAAAACCCUAUGGAUUGCAUCAUUAUUACCUAAAAAGUCUAUUGUCAAAUGCAGCAGAGUGAUAUUUUUUACAAGGUAGAUAUUAAUUUUAGAUAUGGAAUAAUAUUGGUGAUUUCAAUUUUAUAACACUGGGUUAAGAUGAAAGAAUGAGAAGAUAAAGGUCCCUCAGCAAUAUAACUCACAAACAUAUUCAGCAGUAAGAAGUUACAUUAAUUAUCUUUUGAAAGUCAAUAAUCUACAUCUUUAAUGUAUGCAUAUAGCAUAGCUAAUGUACUAUCGCUGGGUCCAUUUAUUCAAUGAAUAAUUGCCGCUAUGUGUCAGACAUUUUUCUAGGCCUAGGAAUGGAUACAUAAGUGAACAAAGCAAAGAUUCUGGUUCUUGUAGAGUUUCCAUUAAAAGACCAUUUAGUAAAACUGUUCUUCCCCCAAAUUAUAAAAUCUGUAAGAUGAUUUAACAACAUGUGUAAAAGUCAUUGUGGGCCAGGCACGGUGGCUCAUACCAGGUGUGGUGACUCAUAGCACUCUGUCACCCAGGCUGGAGUGCAGUGGCACAAUCUCUGCUCACUGCAACCUCUGCCUCCUGGGUACAAGCGAUUCUCCUGCCUCAGCUUUCUGAGUAGCAAGGACUACAGGUGCACACCAUCACACCUGGCUAAUUUUUGUACUAUUAGUACAGACGGAGUUUCACCAUGUUGGCCAGGCUGGUCUCGAACUCCUGACCUCAAAAGAUCCGUCUACCUCGGCCUCCCAAAGUGCUGGAAUUACAGAUGUGAGCCACAAUGCCCGGCCUUAUUUUCUACAACUUUGGUAACUUUAGCAUAUACCCCAAAUCUGUAAGACAUAAUAUUAUAAUUCAAAUGCAACUCAUGGCUUCUCAUUGUACUCUUUCUCUAGCUUUUGAAUUAUUUAUUCUAAUACCAGUUUUAAUUCUGACACAAAAGCAUGGGAGUUCUAAUCAAAAUCCAACCUUUUAUCAUAAAAACUAUGAAGAAAUUAUGAGUAGAACUUAAAAAGGAAAAUAGGCCUAUUAAUUAGAUUUGUCUUUGUAGCAUUUAACUCUAUAAUAAAUAACAUAAUAUUUUAUGCCUAUGAGUACCCAACAAAGCCUCCAGCUUCUAUUUAGAUAUAAAAUGUAAAAGUCACUACUGGAUCCACAAGCAAGACUAUGGUAAAGAAAUUUCUCCAGCUAACCAGCUUCUUUUACAUGAUGUUACAUGUUUGUUUUUUCAUUUUGGCAAAUAUUGAUUGUCAUCUUCGUGUUUGUCUAUGUCCCAAGUGCUGGGAUACAGAAUCUGAAAAGAUGGACACAGGACCUGCCUUCAAGUUCACCCUUUUUUUUUGAGAUGGAGUUUUGCUCUUGUCGCCCAGGCUGGAGUGUAAUGGUGAGAUCUCGGCUCACUGCAACCUCCACCUCCAGGGUUCAAGUGAUUCUCCU
rnacentral:lncRNA from 10 species